UUACGACCACAUCACAUUGAAACAACGGAUCCCGUACGAUCACUGAAGUGAAGCAACAUCGAACUUGAUCAGUACCUAGAUGGAUAAGCGCUUUUGAAUACCAGGUGCAGUAAG